CUAUGAAAUUAUAGCACUUGUCUUUUGGGACUAACUUCAAAUGAAGAGAAUACUCAUUGCUAACCACUU